UGUUCUGUAUUAUAUUUCUUGGGAAAAGUUUCUUUGUAAAUACCCCAGGAUCUGCAGUACACAUCUGCAUGAAAGACAUUGUCCUAUAGGGUAGUGUGCUUUUCUCUCUCCCUUAAGCUACAAAUCCUAGAGUGUCUAGUCUCUGAGGAUUCAAGCUAUAGGCCUCAAAGGCCUGGAACUUCAGGAGCAGUCAGUCUGAGGGGGUAGAAAGAGUGCGUGACCUACAACAAUCUCAGGGUAGCAAGGCAAACUUCAGACACACUAGAAGCAGGAAUAGAGGAAGUUCUGCAUAUUUUCUUUGUACUGCUGUGUCCAUUCCCUUAAAAGAUCAAGAAUACAAGCAUAGAAGGAAGCUUCAGUGAUAAACUACUUCGCCCACCAAAUACGUUUAUCAUCUGGACAUUGCUAAGACAAUGAUGGAUAUCAAACAAAUGAUCAACAAUUUCCACUGGUUCUACUGGCAAUUUCAACUGAUUACAAUGACACAUAUGAUGGAUUCCUUUGAAUGGUGGCUUUUCCACUCCCUUUUGUUUUUUACAGUGAUGCUGGUAGUAUUUAUUUUUUAUGUCAUUGUGCCUGUGCAAAUCCACUUGGCUCUAGAGACUGUUUGUCAUAUAUUUGGUUUACAGUGCAAAAGUAACAGACCAGCCAUCAUAUGAAUUUUCUACAUCUCACAGGGACUGUGUGAUUGUGUGGAUAGUUUUUUCUGGCUUAUAUUGUUGAGUUUUCAAAGCAACUUUUGGAGACUUUCUGGGAUAUACAAAUUAUUAUUAUUUUUUGGGAUCCAUGAAAGAAGUCUUGAAAAAAAAUCACAACAAUUGCAUCCAGCAAGU